AACGUAGGACGCAAGCGUUAUCCGGAGUUACUGGGCGUAAAGCGCGGGCAGGCGGCUCGAAACGUCUGAUGUGAAAUCUCCUCGCUCAACGGGGAGAGGCCAUUGGAAACGGUCGAGCUGGAGGUCAGUAGAGGUAGGCGGAAUUCCGGGUGGAGUGGUGAAAUGCGUAGAUAUCUGGAGGAACACCGGUGGCGAAGGCGGCAUCCUGGACCGGUAUUGACGCUGAGGCGCGAAAGCUAGGGGAGCAAACGGG
rnacentral:rRNA from 1 species